AGAGUUUGAUCAUGGCUCAGAACGAACGCUGGCGGCAUGCCUAACACAUGCAAGUCGAACGAGACCUUCGGGUCUAGUGGCGCACGGGUGCGUAACGCGUGGGAAUCUGCCCUUGGUUCGGAAUAACUUCGGGAAACUGAAGCUAAUACCGGAUAAUGACGUAAGUCCAAAGAUUUAUCGCCAAGGGAUGAGCCCGCGUAGGAUUAGCUAGUUGGUGGGGUAAAGGCUCACCAAGGCGACGAUCCUUAGCUGGUCUGAGAGGAUGAUCAGCCACACUGGGACUGAGACACGGCCCAGACUCCUACGGGAGGCAGCAGUGGGGAAUAUUGGACAAUGGGCGAAAGCCUGAUCCAGCAAUGCCGCGUGAGUGAUGAAGGCCUUAGGGUUGUAAAGCUCUUUUACCCGGGAAGAUAAUGACUGUACCGGGAGAAUAAGCCCCGGCUAACUCCGUG
rnacentral:rRNA from 1 species